rnacentral:lncRNA from 1 species
UCCAUAUCAACGUGGGUUAUUGGAGUUUCAUCUUCUGAAGCCUUUCUGGGCCUUAGCUGUUUGGUUGGCUAAUCACAGCUAUCACAUUAAAAGAAGGCCAGUUGCAGGCACUUGGAGGAUUUCUGAGCAAGUGAAAGAUUUUGUUGAACCGAGGACUAAGAAGAAUGUCAGAAUUCAAGUGAAAUUAAUGAAGCUUGAACUUAAAGGAGAUCUCUUGAUCGGCAUGAACAUCUUGAUGGAAGCCGGCCAAUGAGAUCAUUGCUGAUCAGGUCAGGCAGCUAACAUGGAGUCAUAAGAAGAGGGCGGUGGCAAAGAGGUAAGUGCAAUGCAUGGGGUUACCUCCUGUCACUGAAUCAUAGAAUGACUUGGGUUGGAAAGGGCCCCAAGGAUCAU